CGUAGUGCCUUAUAUUGAAUACAAUCCAAUUUUUUAAAAGCUGCUGCGUUUGCUGGAUUUAAUAAAACCGAGCCGUAGUCUAUAAUGCUUCUAAUUAAGGCAUUAUAUAGGAGUUUCAUAAUAGAAGGAUGGGCGCCCCACCAUACACCACUAAGACACCUUAAAAUAUUUAGGUUGCGUUCACAUCUCACUACAACGGAUUCACAAUGUGAUACACCUGUGAGUUUUGAGUCCAAUACAAGUCCCAAAAACUUUGCCUGAUCCUUAACUGAUAAGGGGGAAUCAUCAUAUAAAACAUUAACUACUAAUGGAAUCCUUUUUCUAGAGUAUACAACUACAGUGCUUUUAGAUGGGGAUAGAUCUAGACCAUUAUUAUCUAGCCAUUUUUUAAGAAAUUGUAAUGCUGCAGAAAGGGAAUCGCUAAUCUCGUUAAUUAAUCGGCCGGCAACAUAGAAAAGCAAAUCGUCCGCAUAUUGCAGAACUUUUACACAUUUAUUUAUGGAUACUUCUAAAUCAAUAGUAUAAAUGUUGUAAAGAAUUGGACUCAUUACGGAACCCUGAGUAUCAGGAUAUUAACAUUAUCAUAAGCUGCGGUUAUAUCUAGAAAACCAGCUAUUACAGAGUCAUUUCUAGAAAACGCUAAUCUAAUAUCUGUGACAAAAAUCCCCAAACUGUCAAAAGUGCUCUUACCUUUCCUAAAUCCUAGCUGACUAUCUGAGAAUAAUCCAUUGUGUUCCAAAAACCAUUCGAGGCGAUUUUUUAUUAAAUGUUCCGAUAUUUUCGCCAAUACAGUAGAUAGAGCUAUGGGACGAUAUGAUGAAGGUUCGGAACUUGGUUUAUCUGGCUUUAAUAACAAGAUUAAAGUUUGUGUUCUCCAAGAACUGGGAAUAUUACCUGAUGUCAUAGCUGUGUUGAUUAAAGAGAGAUAAUAAUUAAGAGCAUCUUCGUCUAAAUGUACUAUAAAAGAGUAUGGAAUGCCGUCUUCACCAGGCGCCGAGUCUUUAAUAACAGAAAGUACACCUUUUAAUUCAUUGACAGUGAAGGAUGAAUUGAGAUCAAAUGUAGAAUCAUUAUUAUUAACUAUUUCUGUAUUAAUAGUUAAAGGAUUUACAUGGAGCUGUUCUGGAACGAAAGUUGUACCAGUUGGCAUUACUUAAUUUAUACCUCAUACGGGGCUGUUUCAUCUGCUGCAAGGGUUUUGAAAAAGGAAAAGUAAUUAAUAAUGGAUAAUGAUCACUAUUAUAACUAUAGUU